GAUGAACGCUGACAGAAUGCUUAACACAUGCAAGUCUUUGGCGAAGCUGUGCUCGCACAGCCUAGCCAAGGCGGACGGGUGAGUAACGCGUAAGGAACUUGCCCUGCAGUCAGGGAUAACAGACGGAAACGACUGAUAAGACCUGGUAAAGUCAGGCGGACUCAUGUCCAGCCUGAUGAAAAGAGAUGCUGCAGGAGAGCCUUGCGUCCUAUUAGCUUGUUGGUGGGGUAACGGCCCACCAAGGCGAUGAUAGGUAGCCGGCCUGAGAGGGUGGACGGCCACAAGGGGACUGAGAUACGGCCCUUACUCCUACGGGAGGCAGCAGUGGGGAAUAUUGGACAAUGGGGCAACCCUGAUCCAGCAAUUCUGUGUGCACGAUGAAGGUUUUCGGAUUGUAAAGUGCUUUCAGCAGGGAAGAAAAAAAUGACGGUACCUGCAGAAGAAGCGACGGCUAAAUACGUG
rnacentral:rRNA from 1 species